rnacentral:rRNA from 1 species
GAGAUGUGGGUAGUCCGCACGAGCGCACCUCACUUUUAGUUGCCAUCAUUAAGUUGGGCACUCUGAAAGAACUGCCAGUGAUAAGCUGGAGGAAGGUGGGGAUGACGUCAAGUCCUCAUGGCCCUUACGUGUUGGGCUACACACGUGCUACAAUGGCAUCUACAACAGGAAGCAAAACGGCAACGUUAAGCAAAUCCCGAAAAGAUGCCUCAGUUCGGAUUGCACUCUGCAACUCGAGUGCAUGAAGCUGGAAUUACUAGUAAUCGUGGAUCAGCGUGCCACGGUGAAUACGUUCUCGGGUCUUGUACACACCGCCCGUCACACCAUGGAAGUGGAUUGCACCAGAAGUAGAUAGUCUAACCUUAGGGAGGGCGUUUACCACGGUGUGCUUCAUGACUGGGGUGAAGUCGUAACAAGGUAGCCGUAGGGGAACCUGUGGCUGGAUCACCUCCUU